rnacentral:rRNA from 1 species
UACAGAGGGUGCAAGCGUUGUUCGGAAUUAUUGGGCGUAAAGCGCGUGUAGGCGGCUUUGCAAGUCGGGUGUGAAAGCCCUCGGCUCAACCGAGGAAGUGCGCCCGAAACUGCAGAGCUUGAGUACCGGAGAGGGUGGCGGAAUUCCCCAAGUAGAGGUGAAAUUCGUAGAUAUGGGGAGGAACACCGGUGGCGAAGGCGGCAUCCUGGACCAUUACUGACACUGAAUAGCGAAAGCCAGGGGAGCAAACGGG